UUUUUCAGAUAAGGAAAGAUCUAACUGGAAAGCAACUACGAGAUGUGAAAGAUAACGCUCUGCCAAUUUGCUGGAAAGGCGCAAAACCUUUUAAAUCUGUGCGAGAUGUUAGGAACUAUUUUAACACUUUGGUGCUGAGUUUUGCCGGUGCAAAUAACAAUAAGCUAGUAUUACCACCUGAAGCUUAUCUCAUUGUCACUGUAAGUACCUCUGGAAACCAUUAAUUAUUUUUUUUCAAAGAAUUAAAACUAAAUGUACAGUUCUAUGGAGUUAAAAAGAGAAUGCAAUAUAACAAGCUCAUUUUUCUCAGGAACGAGGAAAUGUUUGCCUAGGAAUUUUGAGUGGCACUGAAGCUGGACUAGGAAUUACCAAUGUGAUUGGAGGUAAGAGUGUUUUUAUUGCAUAUAGCUUGACCAGUCAUUUUGCUUCUAAGUUUCUAAUUUGUUUGCCUUCCCUUGCAAUCCAACUUUUCCUUGUUGGUAUGCUGUACAGACAUUUCAUUGCAAGAUAAACUGGUGAUAUAUGAUAAUGAGAACCAGAGGAUUGGAUGGGCUUCUGCUGAUUGUACUCGCAAGCCUCGAUGAUUAUGAACCUAUUCUCUUGUAUUAUGUAAGAAAAACUAAAUAAAAUGACUGAAUAAAGUGUAAGGCAAAAAAAAUAGCUUCAUUCUUCAAAAGAGGGUACAUACUUUUUGUUUAGUUGUAGAAGAAGGCUCAUUACCAUGAUGCUUCUCUUUGAUAAUACACAAGGGUUGAAAAAUGUAAGCGGGUAACUUAUUGGAAAUAUGAUGUAGGCAAUACAAAUGGCGUUUACGAAAGACAUUCACAAUGCCCUUUGAUAUAUCUUAUGCUGCAUGUUAGCUUUAGAAAGUUUCAUAUCCAAGAAAGAUGCAUCUUUGACUGUGCAAACAAGUUCAUGUCCAGGUACAAUGAUCUCUCAGUCAUAAACACCCUUACAAUGAUUGGAUAGACUUUCUGCACUCCUUUCAAACUUUCCCAACUCCUUCACUUUGGGUCACCUCAAAGGCAAGCAAAAUAUGUAGCUACAGCUUUGCUGGAGAGUGUAUCAGAAAUAAACACAGGCGUUUGGACCUGAUGGCUUUGGUCUUCUCUCUUUCUUUCUCUUCUUUUAAGCUGGAAAAAGAUGUCAAUCAAUUCAAAUAGCAUGACCCAACAACUUCUUAUACAUUUUUCAGAGGAAUGAAGAAUCAUUCCCACAAGUAAAAAUGUUCAUGGCAAGAGUUCUCUGUGAACUUUCUCUUGUAUAUUCAUUAUUGCUUUGUCAUUGAUUAUUAUCCAUAGACUUUUUUAAGCAGUCAGCAGUUUUCUAUCAUGAGAAAGAAAGGGCAGAAUCGUAAGGAAGAAGAGAAUAAGAAGAAGAAGAAGAAGAGGGAGGACAUAGACUUACCAUAUCCACCAGAAAUUGCUGGCUUAAUUAACCAAAUAUUUAACUGGGGCGUUGUCUAAAGGCCUUUUAUUAGCAGAAGCCGUUGCCAAGAGAUAUUGGCGGCCUAGCCUAUUUUACUUCUUCGGUUCGUCCCUGUUUCACAUUUUUAAAGGGCAGAUAUUGCAUUCUAUAAUACGAAUGAAACAAUGUGACACGAUGAGUUAUAAAAGUUUUACCUCAUGAUAUAAUUUGUAACACACAGACAUUUCAAUAUUUAACAUACCCGCAAUUUUGUGAUGGUCAAAGACAACUAGUUAAAUUGAUUUUGAAAGUCACGAACAUUUGACUUAAUGAUAAUUUUUUAAAAAAAAUAAAAAAACAAAAAAUGUGAAAAGUGGACAACAAAACUAAAGGCCAUUGGGUCCUAAUCGUUUAAAUAUUUGAAAAAUUCAGAAUUUAACAGAGUUAUAUAUAUGUCUACUUAUAUUGAUGUAAAAUUAAUUUAAUUUUACAUUUUUUCAUAGCUUUUAUGCAAUUUAUAUUUGAUUUAAUGCAACCAUCAAAUUUUGUGUUCUAUUCACGUAAAUUAUGAAUGUCAAAUUUUAAAUUAAUUAAAAAUAUUUAACUCUUUGUUUGAUAAUAAAAAUUUCAACUGUUAAAUGUACGUUGAAAAUUGUAAUAUUCUCAAUCAAUUAAUUUAAUACAAACAUUGAAAUUUUACAUGCAUGGUGGGCACCAAUAAAUUAUUAAAUCCAAUCGAAGAUUCAGUAAAAUAUUAAUCUUGCAUGAAGCUAAUUUGGUACAAUUUGAUCCAUACUCUCUCUCUCUCUAUAUAUAUAUAUAUAUAUAUAUAUAUAUAUAUAUUAUGUAUCUAAUUUACUUUACACGCAUUACAGAUACAAGUAAAUUGUUAAACCCAAUAAUUGAUUUAACUUGAUUGAACCUCUCUCUCUAUAUAUUCUACAUAUUGUAUACUCAAAUUUAGACAAGCAGGGAAUUCAUGAAUGAGGUAGCAGGUUCUUACAUCUAAAAGUUUUUCGGAUUUUAAAGUAUUUUAUCGGAAUAUUAAACUGUUAUAUUCUUUGACCUUGAAAUUAAGAUGCCUGGACUAGAUAGCAUAGUUGAAAAAGACCCUUCAUGAAAUUAGCAAAUGGUGACUCCAAAAGGAAAGUAAAAACAAGAGCAAAGGAUGACAUGGGCUCACUAAAAGAGUUAGGUGCAUGCGUCAUAAGGUGAUUAUUUUUUCAACUUCUAUAGCCCAAUUAUUCAAUUUUCUUUUUGGGUGAAGAUUAGGCUUAUUUUAGCAUGUAACCCCCUAAUAAUCAGACUUAUAACCAAGGCCUGGUAUAAGUACUUUAUAUAUAUAUAUAUAUAUAUAUGAAUAUUGAUCAUAAAUCAUUUAAUUUAAUAAUAAAUAUAUGUAUUUUUUACUCAAAAUGUUAAUUAUUUUCCAUCAUAUGAAACAAGUUUGUAUAAAGAUGGCAAGAUUCCCUUCUUGAUGACAAAGCCUACUAUAUGAUAAGUUUAAUUAGGUGCUUCUCUUAAACAUGGUAAAAUGGACAAGUAAUUCGACGCUGUGAGUUACUUUAUAGGUGGAUUAAGACUUAAUCCUAGCUCCUAAUCAAGAAAACAUAUAUAGCUUCAUAAAUCCUAAUUAUUACCUCCAAAGAGCUUUAAUAUUACUACUAUUAAAUAAAGAAAUUAAGCUUCUAUUAGUAAUGAAUUUUGACAUAAGUAUAUUCCUUAAAGCCAAAUUUCUCAUAAGGCCAGUGGUAGUUUGACAACUGGAAUAAACAAGUAUCCCCUUCACACAAAAUUGAGCAGAAGGAUCCAUCCACCACUGUCUCUUUUCCCAUUGGUUUUCUUAAUUCAAUGCCAUCAUUUUCUAUUCCACUCUUUCGUAUGAACACUUCGAUUCCAUUAUUUUCUCCAUUCAUCCAUUCUAUCAUUUCGAUUUAUAUUUAUAAUAGUGUGAGAUUAGGGUCUGAUCCAGAUGACCCUACCAUCCACAUAAUUCACUUUCAUCUCCAUUGAGUUACAAUGAAACCAAACACAUAGUACAAUACCAAUUUUGCCCUGCCCAAACGCCAUCUCCUUAAACUUUUCCAAUGGCAAAUUUGACCAUUUGAUGAUUUUUCCCCGGCCAAGACCGCGUAAGCAGUGAAACUGAACUGAAGCUACCGACUACAGAGGAAGAUCCCAAACCCUAUCUAAAACCCCUUCACCGGACACAAAUUGAAACCUCUAAACUGAAAUAAUCUUUCAAAAUCUUAUUUAAAGACAAAAGAAAAGGAAAAUAAAAUUGAAAAGCGUGCGCCUAUAAAUAUAGCUAAGAAGGAGCCUAGUCUCAGCCAAGAAGUCACCUUCACACCUUCCCAACGAAGUUCUCAGGGGGCUUUGUGUGUUUUUUGUUUCUUUUUCAUCAGAAAAGAAAUGGUCUUUUAAGUAUCCUUUUGGCCUCUGAUUCCAAAAAUUCUUUUUUUUUUUAAUUUUUGCAAUAGAUUUCUUUGUGGGUUUUUGAUCCUUAGUAGAGAUGGCUGACCAGGAAAUGAAAGGAAAAAGAUCGCCAUUGAUGAUCAUGGUUUUCGUCUUUCAGGUUCUCUCUUCACAUUUACAUGGCUGUUUUGCAGCAACCGGUCAAGGUCAGCCACAAUGGCAGAGGAGUACAGUCCGUCCAACGGCUGUUAAUGGCUUUGGUUUUGGCUCCUCUGUUGUUCUUCCUGUUGCUGGCAAUGUCUAUCCUCUUGGGUACUGCCUUUUUUGUUUUUUGUUUUUUUUUUUCUAAAAACGUUGGUUUUGUUUAUUUUGAGUUUUUUUUUUAUAAAAUACUCGGACAGUUCUUAUUAAUUAAUUUAAAACAUGGCAGUCUGUCUUAAAAACUUCAACCCCAUUAAUAGAAAAAGUUUAAAAAAAGGAAAAAGACUAAAAUAGACAAUUUGAUCAGACGACACUGUGUUACCUCUGCUGGUCAGUCCGUAAUCAGACCUGACACUCCUGAAUUUGGUACAUGGAUUGGUUUCUCUAUGUGCUGCUUUGUUCUGAAUUUGAUCACUGCUUUGUUCUUUGUUUUCUUCUUCUGGUUAUGUAAUUUUCUUGAACUUGUUGCAGAAUAUUUGAAGUAUUUCUCGUUUACGUUCUCUAAAUUUGAUUUCAUGUUCUGUUCUUGGUAAAUUUCAGGGUUCAUUGGAUAUGUCUGUAGUUUCACUAAGACACCCUAUAUCCUAUUUGUUUUCCUUCUCUCGGCUGUUUUUAAUCUUUCAGAUAAUUUCAUUAGCCCUUUGCCCUUCCAAGUUGGAUUCCUUGGCCAAAUUCCCCAUGAUAAGUUGAUAACAUUUCUUAAAGAUGUUUUCCUUUUUUCUCCCAAAUUUUCCUCUUUUGUCUCCUUUUAUUAGUAUAAUUAAUUUCUUGGGUUUGUAGUUCUUUUGCAAUUUGAUUGCAGUAAAAUUUGAUUUUUCAUGAUAAUAUGACUUUGAGUUCACUCUUGGUUUACCCUCUCUUCAUAUCUACAUGUUAAAAAAGUGUAACCACUGAAGUUCAUGGAAUUCCUAUUUCUGUCAAUUGUCAGGUUCUAUUCUGUGGAACUUAAGAUAGGCAACCCACCUAAGACUUUUCAGCUUGAUAUUGAUACUGGCAGCGACCUCACUUGGGUCCAAUGUGAUGCUCCUGAUACUGUUUGCACUGGUUGCACUCUGGUAAAUUUCUUACUCCAAUAUGAUCAUAGCAUUAUAAUAAAUUGCAAGAAAAAAACAAACACUGCUAGGUUCUUAUGAUGCCUUUGUCUUCCUUGUUGCAGCCUCAUGACCGUCGUUACAAGCCCGCUAAGAGCAACUUUCUGCCUUGCAAGGAUCCCAUAUGUGCUGCACUUAACUCUCCAAAAUCAAAUCCAUGCAAGAAUCCAAAUGAAAAAUGUGGGUUUAAAGUUAAAUAUGCUGACCAAGUUUCAGUUCUUGGUUUCAUGGUCUCAGACAACUUUCAUGGCCUUGGCAGUGGCUCCCUUUCUAAUCCCCAUUUGGCCUUUGGGUGGGAAUUUCCUACCCUUCUUCUCAAUUUACAACCUUUGAAUUUUGGAAGUGAUUUCAACCAUAUCAAUAGCUCAGAAUUUUGUCAAUUUCGAAAAUGGCUCGUCUUUUGAAGUAAAAUGUUGAAAUUCGUAGAGUUUGUGUAUUGUGUUUAUACGAUACAUUCACUUCCAUGAUAACUAACAGUACCAUGUUUUUCCUCAUCUGCAGGUGUGGAUCUCAACUAGAAAAUCACAGUCCAGACAGACCACACCCUCUUACCACUGCUGGAGUCCUUGGACUUGGCAAAAGUAAAGCGAGCAUGUCAUCACAAUUGAGUGGCAUGGGUAUAACAAAAAAUGUGGUAGGUCAUUGUUUCAGUGGACAAGGGGGAGGGUUUUUGUUCCUUGGAGCUGGUUUCCCUGAAUCAAAAAUGACUUGGACGCCAAUGUUGCAAAAUUCCGUUGAGUAAGCACAAUCACAUAUGUUUUCUUUACUUCUUUACUAAUUCCAUGUUACCUCUAACGCGUGUUUCUUUCUUGUUGGUUUCGUUUCAGUGAACAUUAUUAUUCUUCUGGUCCAGCAGAACUUCUUUUUGGUGGGGAGCCUACUGGUGCAAAGGGCCUUUAUGUUAUCUUUGACACUGGAGCCACCUACACCUACUUGAGUUCUGAAGUUUACCAAACUCUACUCAAUCUGGUGAGACAGAAAGAAACAAACAUCAAUGCACAAACCUUACGAAUGCAAACACGUUACCGGAACUGAUUGCUCACAUCAUUUUUCAGAUAAGGAAAGAUCUAGCCGGAAAGCAACUACGAGAUGUGAAAGAUUACGCUCUGCCAAUCUGCUGGAAAGGCGCAGAACCUUUUAAAUCUGUGCGAGAUGUUAGGAACUAUUUUAACACUUUGGUGCUGAGUUUUACCGGUGCAAAUAACAAUAAGCUAGUGUUACCACCUGAAGCUUAUAUCAUUGUCACUGUAAGUACCUCUGGAAACCAUUAAUUAUUUUUUUUUUCAGAGAAUUAAAACCAAAUGUACAGUUCUGUGGAGUUAAAAAGAGACCGCAAUAUAACAAGCUCA
rnacentral:lncRNA from 1 species